CCUACGGGAGGCAGCAGUGGGGGAUAUUGCACAAUGGGGGAAACCCUGAUGCAGCGAAGCCGCGUGUGGGAAGACGGUCCUCUGGAUUGUAAACCACUGUCCCCAGGGACGAAGAUGACGAUACCUGGGGCGGAAGCUCCGGCGAACUACGUGCCAGCAGCCGCGGUCAUACGUAGGGAGCGAGCGUUGUCCGGAAUUACUGGGUGUAAAGGGAGCGUAGGCGGGACUACAAGUUGGGUGUCAAAUCUACCGGCUCAACCGGUAGCCGCCCUCAAAACUGCAGUUCUUGAGUGAAGUAGAGGCAGGCGGAAUGCCUGGUGUAGCGGUGAAAUGCGUAGAUAUUAGGAGGAACACCAGUGGCGAAGGCGGCCUGCUGGGCUUUUACUGACGCUGAGGCUCGAAAGUGUGGGUAGCAAACAGGAUUAGAUACCCGGGUAGUC
rnacentral:rRNA from 1 species